AGUGAACACAUAAGUUACUCCUUAAUAAGUGGUCUCAUCCUAGGUUCUUCCUGCCAGCAAUUUCUCACUUUAAUCAUACACCCACAACAACCCAGAUCUUUAAAUUCAGCAUUUUUUUCUCAGGUUUCAGCAAGUCACUGGCAGCCUGAGCUAUUUUUGGGAUAUUUUCUCUACUGCAGAUGCAGCUUAGGAAAACGCAGGGAGCAUGCUAAAGACCUGCAGCUAUUUGCCUUGUACAAUUUGCUCCUUUCUCUUUAUUUCUCUGUUUUCCUGCACUCAUCACUUAAAGGACAAUCUUUCUUGCAAACAGAAUCCCUGGAGUCUGAUUAAGAGGGACUGAAAGCUCCCAGACACGGAUUGCCUGCCAGCCACAGCACGGAAAGGUCUGAUAAAGUCUUUUUUGGAGACUGCAGCAGCUUUCUGAGCUUCCGAAGGUUGACGCUGUUAGAGUGACAAUGAUGACGGAGCAAAACAGCUUCGAAAUUCCUAAGCAUCCACCCAAGACACCCAUAUAGGGUCAAUGGGAGAAGAGAUCAGAAGAUUCUGCCUCUGCAUUGCCCAGAUCAGCCUGAGAAAAUGGGAGUCCAAUAGGGCAUCUGGAGUUCUCAUCAUGUGCUCUGUAACUUUAGAAGAAAAUUUUGAACAUCGUAUCUAUUUGAAAUGAACUGUAUUUGAAAUGAUGGCUGACAAAAGAACAAGGAACAGGAAAGAAAAGAAUAGGAACACAAAGCAGAAGGGAAAGAUCUGUGACCAGUUCUCUUUCACUCAGUGUAUGCUGAGCUAAUGAUACCUCAUACAGGUAUCCCACAAUCACAUUAGAAUCAAGAGAUCCUACUUUCAUGAACAGCCUUCUAAAAUUGCAGAUCCCUACCCACUGUAUUUUUGUCCCAAAGAAUCAAAGUACAGCAUAGGCAGAGCAUGCAGCAAGGUUCAAUGUCCAGCACUGGUACAGUACAGGAAGAGCUACACCCUUACAUGCUAACAAUCAUCUGAAGGUCACCACAAAACUUCCAGGACAAUGUCUUGUGAAGAUUUCAUAAACAGAAUUGAGCAAGUGAAGUUUCUUCCAGUUUAAUAACAAAAUGAAAAUGUCAGAAAGAAGGAAGCACAAAUCUCAGUUCAUACAGAAUACACACAAUACUUUUUUUUUUUUUUUUUUUUUUUUACAAAAUAAAAACCCAGCGCUUUCCAUUUGGGGCAAAUCUGACAUAUUACAUCUAAUUAAAAAUAAAAUGUUUUGUGACUUUUUUAAAAAACACACAUAUUUUCAAUUUAUACUAACUUGGAAGUGGAAAGUGGUAUUUCUGUUUCAAAAGAUGAAAAAUUUCAUUUUCAGCAUGUUAAGAUAUUUCCUUUAAAAACUAAGAAAACGUUUCAUAUUUUUCCUAUUACUUCAGUUGAAACUAUUUUAGUUCAACCUAGUCUCAAGAAUGGUCCCAGUCCUUUCAAACUUUUGUUAUUCUAAGAAUUUAAAAAUCAUUCAAAAAUUUUGUCCACCUCUAUUCAUAAAUUCAAGCAAUUUUUUGGCCUUAGAAUCUUGGGAAAGGAAAUACUCAAGAGCCUUUUUAAAGUGCCUUUCCAUUUCCCACCACUGUGUCCCUAUCAGAUAUUCUGUAUAGCCUAAUGCAGCAAUAGCUCUACCUUCACUGUGGCAGUCCCUCGUGAAAUGUUUUCUAGAAUUAGAGUGUGAAGACUGGAAACUUAACUUGCCGCUUUUAUAAAGAGGGAAGAACACCCAGGAGAAGGUAUUUGAAUUAUGUCCUGAGGCAGAAUGAAGUUGAUUUAUGUCAGGGAUUAUUUUUAUCUCUCCAGUCAACUAGAAGAUAUGCAGCAAAGCCUGCAUAGGCAAAGCGAUGCAGCACUGGUCUGUACCACACUGACAGUGCUUGAAAAUAAAGUCAGCUUAGCAGCAGGCAGAGCUCUGCCCUUGCGAGCCCUUGGCACAGCUCUGUGGGAAGGGUUUCCCUAGACAAGCUCCCAGGGCCUGCUCUCCGCUCAGAUAGGCACCACAUGGGCCCACUGUGCAGCAGCUGGACAGUGCAAACCAGACUUCACUUGCAGAUUGCCACAGGAAUUCUGGAGACUGAUGGGAUUUGGCUCCUGCAUCUACCAUUCCACUCAUGUCCUGGCAUACUGAUAAGGGAAAAAUGGGAUGGUUAUGAUAGAUCCCAUGCCCCAUUCUUCAGUCACAUACUGCCUCUAAACAUCUCUAAUCUGAGCUGAGAGUGGGUUAUUUGAACCAUAAACACCUGGGACCCUUCUCCUUCCUUUUUCUGGUCUGGCUUUGACACAGAAGUGAAUACAUUCUUCCAUUCCUGGGACCUCAAUCCAAAGUGCAUGACCAUUCCAUUGAUUUCAGAAAUCCUUACCUAGAUCUCCAACCCAGUAUCCCUGUAGAAUAUCAUUAGGAAAACAAAGCAAACCCAGCUGUGAAAUUACCUCUGGAAGAGAAAUAUCUAUUUCCUCAAGGUUUUUUUUUCUUUGAAAAAGGCAUCAUAUUUACUGAGUUUUUAAUAUGCAUGUAUGCAGUUUUCUGAAAGCACAUGAUCUAAACCACUAAAUCUCUGCACUUAAUUUUCAAGUGUAGGAAAAGAAAAUCAGUAAAAAGUUUGAAUAAAUGAACUCUAGUUUUUAGAAUAAAAAAUUAGAGUAAAUGUUUCCAAGCAGCCUGCUAUAGAAGAUAAACUAUUGGAUUUAAAAUUCUCUUCCAGUGUUUGAAAUUAAAAUAUUGCACAACAUUUCCAGUGCUUGCCAGCAAGAACAAAUUCAUUAUAAACCAAUGUAAACCUACAUUUUCCUGUACCACCGGUGAACAAGCAGUGAUGUGUAAGGUCAUAAAUAAGAAAUGUAAAUUAAUUUGUAUGUUAAUAAAUGUAAUUAUGUAUCUAGCUGAAUUCUAAUCAUCUACUGAAUGUAACUCCUAAAUUACAGAGGAAAGAAACUAAUUUUUCAAGAAUUAAAAAAAAAACAAACAGAA